rnacentral:rRNA from 1 species
UACGGAGGAUGCAAGCGUUAUCCGGAAUGAUUGGGCGUAAAGCGUCCGCAGGUGGCAAUGUAAGUCUGCUGUCAAAGCGUCUGGCUCAACCAGAUAAAGGCAGUGGAAACUACAUAGCUAGAGUAAGGUAGGGGUAGAGGGAAUUCCUGGUGUAGCGGUGAAAUGCGUAGAGAUCAGGAAGAACACCGGUGGCGAAAGCGCU